rnacentral:tRNA from 1 species
CAGACAAUAGUUUAAAUUAAAAAUAUUAAUUUUGGAGAUUAAAGAUAUACGGAAAUUAUUUAUCUGA